AAGUGAGUUCACUUGUUUGAAUUACAGUGUCAGUAUGAAAUUGUUUUAUAUUUACCGCAUGAAUUUCUUUUCGUACAAAGUGUCGACUCUUAUUCUUAGGUUUUGAAGUUUUUUAUUUAAACUUAUCAAUUUAUUGGAUUUGAACUCGGCCACGUCACAAAUUUUAAAACUUGUAAAAUAAUAAAUUUUUUUUAUUGUAAUCAGAGUCUAAAAUGAUUAUUGUGGCGUUCCUCUUAUCAGUAUGACGACAUCUGAUCUAAUUCAAAAUAUCCUAGAAGGUAUAAAAAGUUUGGGCUGACUGGUUUGACCAGGGCUCGAACUCAAGAUGUCAGACUGCUAAUUCCAUCAUUUUUUAAGUAAUACUCCGAGCCAUACUACAAAUGCCAUCACUGUUUAAUUUACAAAGUUUCAUUUUGUUUUAGCGGGGAAGGAUUAUAAAUGAAGCAGUCAAGAAUGAUCCACCUCUCCCACAUGAUAAAGCUGUUAUAUUCUGCGACAUCUUGCCUCAUAUCACUGAGAGGAUGUGGCUGCACUACAGAGUAGAACCUGAAGAUAUUGAGAUGAUUCAGAGGAAAUUGGAUUCAAUUCCAACGACGGAACUGAGGGUGGGGAUGUACGAUCAUGACGUCAAAUCGGUUUACCUUCGCCAAAGAAGAUCUGAGCAACAACAGAAAUAAACAAAAUUGACUUGACUUUCAUGAAAUCAUUUGUUGAAGCAAGAUUUCAAUAUUCAGACGAUUUUAUUUUCCCUAAUUUUGAUUUCGAUGAGAAUGAUUUUUUGAAACUAUUUUAUUUUAAUGUGAUUUCACUGUUCAUAUUACCGCUCAUUUUGAACAGCUAGUCUGGUAUUUUAUUACAUUCAAAUAUAUCCGGUUUAAGUGAACUUGACUAUGUUGGCAUCAUAAGUUGAAUAUCUCGGGUUCAAACCCCAAGCCCACCACCUCACUCAGGGUCUAAUAAAUUUAAUACUCAAAAAUAUCAUCUUUUCAUGUAUCAGUGGCCGCUCGCACAGCCUUGUUUGAGAUGAAACUGUGAAACGUCUUAUGAAAUAGAUUCACGAGAACAUGAAAAAGCAGAUACUUUGACCAUGGUGAGGUGGCGGGAAUGGGGUUUGAACCCGAGAUUUUCACAACUUUAUAUAUCGUGACCAUCUCUGAUUUAUUCACAACUUCAUUUUUAUUCAGUCUCACAAUAUACAGUUGUUUCGGCAUGCUUUAUAUUAUAUAACGUACGUAAUCUAGUAUUUCACAUAAACGCUCAAAUUUUCUGAACAAAGCUCUGAACAAGCAGUUAACGCAUAGAGCUACUAAGUAUUUGAGCCCUAGAUUUGUAAUCCCGGCUAUCACAGACCUUUCCAUACUGAUAUGUUAAAUAAGAGUGACCACCCUAAAUAAGGAAACUCGGUGCUCUGGUAUCUAAUGAACUGUGUUGGGAUUCCUGUUACGACUCUCUAACAUCGAGUAGCUACGCGAUCUACUUGCAGUCCGGCAUCUUCCAACACUCGGUUGCGCAAUUUCAAACAUAUCCUGACGAUUUACCAAACUAAUCUUACAAAGCUCUGUUUGACUUUGUUAUUAGAGUGAUUCUUAUUUUUAUAUUUUAUUCCUUUUUAAAUAUUACUCAAUUUCAAAAUGCUCAAUUUGUCUUUACGAACCAGGCUCUAAACAAGCAUAGACAUAGCAUUGUUAGUGCAUAGAACUACUAUCAUGAGCAGGGAUUUGAACUUACUUUUACGUAAAUUUUUUUUUUAUAUUCGUACAGUAGUCCCGCUUUUUGUUGUUCAUGAAUUUUUAUUAUCAUUUGACAAUGUGUUUUUACUUGGUAGCUAUUCGGAGACACCAAGUCUGAGUCGCAAGUUUUAUUCGCAAGUUUUAGGUUUGUCAGCGCCAAGUUUUGUAGAAUGUAUUGUAAAAAUAAUCUCCCUAAAAAAAUAAGCUUCAUCAUAAACAAGCAAAAAGCUUUUUUACUACCCUGUAUUUUCACAAUCUUAAUUUUGUUAUUCUGGAGUGAAGCGCCGCUUUUGGAUUUUUUUGCAAACAUUUUUCCCCCUAUUUCCUGGGCAUUAGUCAUUUGUUUAUAUUUUAUGAUUAUGUGUGUCAAG